rfam:Anopheles gambiae M scf_1925491267 genomic scaffold, whole genome shotgun sequence.
UACAGCAACCUCGCAGGUACGGGAGUGGAUUCGAAGCCUCUAGAAGAUUAUCAUAGGCUCUCCACCCCCUACCCUUACUCAAUACGUCCACGUCGUACAGAACGGUAACAUGUCUCUCAAUUAUUCAAGCUUGGGUAUACGGGGAAACAAGCAAGC